rnacentral:rRNA from 1 species
AACGAACGCUGGCGGCAGGCUAAACACAUGCAAGUCGAGCGAGACCUUCGGGUCUAGCGGCGGACGGGUGAGUAACGCGUGGGAACGUGCCCUUCUCUACGGAAUAGCCCCGGGAAACUGGGAGUAAUACCGUAUACGCCCUUUGGGGGAAAGAUUUAUCGGAGAAGGAUCGGCCCGCGUUGGAUUAGGUAGUUGGUGGGGUAAUGGCCCACCAAGCCGACGAUCCAUAGCUGGUUUGAGAGGAUGAUCAGCCACACUGGGACUGAGACACGGCCCAGACUCCUACGGGAAGCAGCAGUGGGGAAUCUUAGACAAUGGGGGCAACCCUGAUCUAGCCAUGCCGCGUGAGUGAUGAAGGCCUUAGGGUUGUAAAGCUCUUUCAGCUGGGAAGAUAAUGACGGUACCAGCAGAAGAAGCCCCGGCUAACUCCGUG